GUGCAGAAAGGAUUCAGGAAGACCUGCAAAACAUACAAAAACAAACGGCGCGAUCCUCAAGAGACAAGAAGAGAACAGAAGAGAAGAGAAAAUAAAGAAAGAAACAAUGCAAAGAAGUUACUCCAGUAGUGCCGAAAAAAAGGAAAAAGAAGGAGGACAGAAGAAAGCUGAUACCACCGAAAAAGUUUUUUUUUCACAGGCGGCAGCAGCGGAGUAAGUAACGCGUUGUCGACACCCAUUAAGGAGGGUUAGUCGCGUGGGGAUGAAAAACGACUAGUGAGUAAUUUAUUUUUUCCUGCAUUGAAAAGUAUUCUGUUAGGUUAUGCAUUAACCCUAACCUUUACCUGUGGCCAUAGCGCCGGCGCUAUGCUUUCAAUGGCCUGAGUUUUAUUACCGUAACUUCGUCAAAGUUUGUCCAGUCAGGAAAAUUUUCAACGGUGUUGGAAAGCUGAGAGUUGUGGGCAUGCGCACAUGUAUUAUUCACUACGGUAGUUGUAACCAUAGAUAUAUAAAUAAACGCUCGAUGGAUUACGACGCUUUUAGCCAAUGGAGAGCGACACCCGCGCAUGGCGGCCAUCUUGCUUCAGGCAGGCCGCCUACUCAUAACAUUACAGUCUACGGUGCAUGUAGCAUUUAAAUAACCAUACAUUGCUUAAUUUUCAAACGAUUUUCAAACGCUUUAGUUUGUAACAAACCUCGGAGUUUUAGUUAUGUUCCUACUUACUAAAGAGUAAUUUAAAGAGAAAUUUUAACCAUGAAUUUUCAUGAAUAAACAUGAAGCAGAUAGGUAGAGCAAUAACUAUAGGCCUACACAAACAAGGCACUUAUAUUAAAUCAUUUAUAUAUAAAACAUGUAAUCAUUCCAUGUAUGUUAUAUUAGUAAUAUUUCUAUUAUAGGGAUAACUAUAAUAACAUACAGCAAAAACAUAUAUAAAUAUUUAUUUUCAAUAUAAAUUUCUGCCUCAUGUUGGCCAUUUUAGAUGUUUUUAACAAACCAAACAACUUGGAAAUCAUGUGCAACUCAAGUUAUGUUGAAUCAAAAGAGCAUUUCUGCCUUUUCCACUGAUGUAAAAUUGCUUGGUCAACUUUGUAAUAGGUGGUCUCACUCACAGUGAGCCUGUUUAGCCAAGUUAGACAGCUGAUAAACACAGCACAUCCACAGAGACCGUCACUUAAACAAAAAAGAAAUGCUGUCAUACAAAAAAAUAAAAUCUGGAUUGUUGUCUCAGCCUUGAUAACUCGCGCAAAGCAACUCAAAGUUAGCAAUUGCGUCCGCAAAUAGCCAUGUAACAACCGUGCUGCAUGAUUAAGUCUUUUUUUUCUCAAAGAAAAGCUGGCAUUUCAAUAUGUCCAAGCAUCCCAACUCAUAGCCAAGUUAUCAAGGUAUGUAAUAAACAAAACCGUUUGUAAAUCUGUCAAGAUUUCAGUGAGUUAAGAGAAUUUUUGAUCAUGCAACUUACUCACUCUCUGUCAGCUACCAUGCAAUGUAACAGAAUGGUGUACUGAAGUAAGAUGGCCGCCGUGAACGGACGCCGGUGGCUACUUCUCAAUUCAUCUAGCCUUUCUUAUAUAUGUCUAUGGCUUCUCAAUCAAUACCGUAACUCCUUGAAAGUUUGAUCAAUCAGAAAAAUUCCAAUGCUGACAGAAAGGUGAGAAUCUGUGCUUUCUGUCAUCAUAUGAUGUAUGGUAUAUAUUACGGUAAUCUUGAACGGUACCAUCAAAACCGCACCUUCUUUGACGGAGCGAGGGAGAAAAAGAGAGCGAAGUAAGACAGAGCAAGCAACAGCUGACAAUUCCAUAUAAUUUGCAGUAAUCACCAACCAGAUGUUGAAAAGUGAGGCUCAAUUACUCCUAGAAAAAGGGACCAAAGCUCUCAGACUUUGGGGCAUUUUCUGACCAUUUUACUGCCAUAAUAACCAAAAUAUCUCCAAAUCGCUAUUAGUAGGGAGGCUAUUUUUCUUGUUACAGAGUUAUCCUUCCUGUUCUCUGCACUUUAUUAAGCAUUCCUUUAUUUUCAACAAAUACCCUGGACUGUAUGACUGAUCUGCAGUGCUUAUGGAAGAGGAUGAAUGUUUCUCAGUUUUUCUGAUUUUCAAGGAGAGCAGAAUAAAUCAACUGCAGUAGAUUAAAAAGUUGUAUUGUUGGAAAACAACAUCUGAGAAUAGUUAUCAAUGUAGUCCAUGUACUUAGCUUAUCCUCUGAAUUUUUGCUGUUUCACAUUGCUGUUUGGCAGAGGUAGCUGACAUAAAUUGAUACAAAUGACUUAAUUUCAUUUUUUUUUAUUGCAAACAAGCAGCAGCAUUUUCUAAAAAAAAUCAGUGACCUACUUUAAAGAGCUAACUAAAACAUUUGACUGUAAAUAUAUAUUUAAUUUUUGUUAAACAAUACAUAAAGACAUGCUUUGGAAUUGCAAGUUUUAUCCUGUUCACUAUAUAAAAAGAGCACAGCUUUUCAAACACUACAGACUUAAACACUGAAGUUAUGCCAGGACUGAAUCCAUUCCUUGCUUACACCAGGAUUACCCACGUACAGGACCCUGAAAAGCAGCGGAGAGAAGCUCCAGUACUGUCAGACCUUCAGACAGGACAAAUAUUACAGACAAAGUCUAAUUGUUAUGAAAAUCUCAUUUUAUUUUCUCAUAGGAUCUUCAUGAUGCAGACUCCUUGGACAUCCUAGUAGGCAUUCUCUGCUUUGAGGAAAGUGGGACCCAAAAUCAUAUAUUAUUUUAUGUUUAUUGUGGCUGUUGCUACGCCCUGUUUUGGGCAAAUGUCAAUAAAGUUUAAUGACAACUUUUGGUGUAAUAUAUUUUUGAGUUGGCAUAGCUUAAAAUUUUGAGUUUAGUGAAAGUCAAAUACAGCUAAAUGCACGUGAUAAAAUUAGUUAUUGUCACUUUAAAUAGUGAGUUGAAUACGUAUGAAUUUUAAU
rnacentral:lncRNA from 1 species